CUGAGAUGUGGAGGGGUCUAUAAGGACUGGUCUUUCUGCAGGGCUGAGAUGUGGAGGGGUCUAUAAGGUCUUUCUGCAGGGCUGAGAUGUGGAGGGGUCUAUAAGGUCUGGUCUUUCUGCAGGGCUGAGAUGUGGAGGGGUCUAUAAGGUCUGGUCUUUCUGCAGGGCUGAGAUGUGGAGGGUCUAUAAGGUCUUUCUGCAGGGCUGAGAUGUGGAGGGGUCUAUAAGGUCUUUCUGCAGGGCUGAGAUGUGGAGGGGUCUAUAAGGUCUGGUCUUUCUGCAGGGCUGAGAUGUGGAGGGGUCUAUAAGGUCUUUCUGCAGGGCUGAGAUGUGGAGGGGUCUAUAAGGACUGGUCUUUCUGCAGGGCUGAGAUGUGGAGGGGUCUAUAAGGUCUGGUCUUUCUGCAGGGCUGAGAUGUGGAGGGGUCUAUAAGGUCUUUCUGCAGGGCUGAGAUGUGGAGGGGUCUAUAAGGUCUUUCUGCAGGGCUGAGAUGUGGAGGGGUCUAUAAGGACUGGUCUUUCUGCAGGGCUGAGAUGUGGAGGGGUCUAUAAGGACUGGUCUUUCUGCAGGG